rnacentral:rRNA from 1 species
UACGUAGGGUGCGAGCGUGUCCGGAAUUAUUGGGCGUAAAGAGCUCGUAGGCGGUGUGUCGCGUCGGCCGUGAAAACCUGCAGCUUAACUGUGGGCGUGCGGUCGAUACGGGCAUCACUGGAGUUCGGCAGGGGAGACUGGAAUUCCUGGUGUAGCGGUGAAAUGCGCAGAUAUCAGGAGGAACACCGAUGGCGAAGGCAGGUCUCUGGGCCACUACUGACGCUGAGAAGCGAAAGCAUGGGGAGCGAACAGG